rnacentral:rRNA from 1 species
UUGACCUCGGAUCAGGUAGGAAUACCCGCUGAACUUAAGCAUAUCAGACGGGGAGAAGGAA